UGCCAGCCGCCGCGGUAAUACGUAGGGGCCAAGCGUUGUCCGGAAUUAUUGGGCGUAAAGAGCAUGUAGGCGGAUUGGACAGUUGGAGGUGAAAUCCCGGAGCUCAACUCCGGAACUGCCUUCAAUACUUCCAGUCUAGAAUCUGUAAGGGGGUGGUGGAAUUCCGAGUGUAGAGGUGAAAUUCGUAGAUAUUCGGAGGAGCACCAGUGGCGAAGGCGACCACCUGGUACAGUAUUGACGCUGAGAUGCGAAAGCGUGGGGAGCAAACAGGAUUAGAUA
rnacentral:rRNA from 1 species